rnacentral:rRNA from 1 species
UACGGAGGAUCCGAGCGUUAUCCGGAUUUAUUGGGUUUAAAGGGUGCGCAGGCGGGAGAUUAAGUCGGCGGUGAAAUUUUGCAGCUCAACUGUAAAAGUGCCUUCGAAACUGGUUUCCUUGAGUGUAGAUGAAGUAGGCGGAAUUUGUGGUGUAGCGGUGAAAUGCAUAGAUAUCACGAGGAACUCCGAUUGCGCAGGCAGCUUACUAAACCGCUACUGACGCUCAGGCACGAAGGCGUGGGGAGUCAAACAGGAUUAGAUACCCCGGUACGGU